UGUAUUCACUUUCAGAUUAGCUUUUCUCAGAAGAAAAUCCAAAAUGAUCUGAUACCUAUAGCAGAGAUAUCAAAAUAAGAGGGGUAUCAUCUUAUGACCAUAUAGUUUUAGUUGGCUAAGGAAGAAUAUGGAUUACAAGAGCGGCAAGGACACGAUAUUCAGUUUGGAGAGUUAGUGAUAAUCAGCCAGAGAGAAGGGUCUUUCUUUAUUCAUUGAUCUUCUUGUUUAGUGCAGUUCUUCCACUACCCAGUGCCAUGGUGCGGACAUUGAAGGUCCAGCAGAAGUUCGCAUUGAAUGGGCAAUAUUUGUGAGCAACCACAUAUAGUUCCUCUAUUUAUAAGUAUAGGUUAAUGCUAUGGAUAUGGUAUUUUGUAUGGAUAUAGUAGGAAUCAAGAUUGGUAAACUAUGUAAUUACUAUUGAAUAUUCAAGUUUUAUGAAAAACAAUUUU